rnacentral:lncRNA from 1 species
AGCCAACCAAGCUGGUUGCAUUAUCUCCAUGGGGCACCUAACUUUGAGAGAACCCUCAGGCUUUCUCAAAUCAUCCAAGAAGCAUUUCAAAAAGAGAAAGAAUCGCCAAGAAAAGGCUGUAAUCAGGAGGUGCUCCAUUUCUUGGGCGGCAGUGCGGGGUCCUGAAAUCCAGAUCACUGAGACAUCUUGCCAGAAAAUGCCCCUGCCAAUGGUUGACAGAAUUUUCCUGCCUGAUUACGCCUCCACAAAGCCGGCCAAGAAGCGCCCGCGGUGGCAGAGCCCUUCAGGCCUCUUCCCGGUGCCAGGGUAGUCCGAUGCUGUCUGGAGGCACCAGCAGCCGUGGAAAGGGUGUGGAAGAUGUGGUCUCUACGUAACCUGUUGUGCCUGUUUACUGAGGGUGCCGACACUGCGGACCUUGCCUUUUCUCUCCAGCUUUGAAGUUCGGUGCAGCUCUGCUUUGACCCUGUAUUACACUUGGAACUUCUGGAAUGCCGCAAGAUGCCGCAUAGUCUUUUCUUUCUUGCUGUCAGUCUGACUUAAUUAUCUGAUGCCCCUGUAGUAAAACCAAGUGCCGUUCUUAAACAAGCAGCUGUGCUGUUAGAAGAGCCCGAGUCCUCUGGCAUCUGCCGCCAUUUGGGCCUCGUGCUGCACUUGCUCUUACCUGUAGCUCAGCUAGCCUGACUGCUCCCAUUUUAGGUCAUGAAGUACGAUAUCCAGGAGAGGAGAUAUUGGAAGAAAUUGAUUUUUGUAGGUUUUUACGGAUUAGAAUUGCUUGUAACAGCCCCCUCUUUGGCAUAAAUCAGCUGUAUGUUUUCAAUUUUUUAUAAUUGUAGAAAUUAACUGGUGUAGUGUAGAAGUAAAAUAAUUGUGGGAAGAAAUUUGGUAUUUUAGACAUAAUAUAUUUCACUUAUUUUUAUUUAAAUGGUUUUAAAUUUUAAAUGUUUUGUAAUUAUUGUCCCAUAAUAGAAACAAUUUUUACUUUAUGGAUAUAAGAGUUGAUAUUAAUGGGCUCAUAAAGCCAUGUCCUGAUUGAGUAGUAAUGAAGGAACUCAGAGAUUUCUAAGGUUCUUCCUGCCCUUUUCUUCCUUCUUAUUUUUCUUUCUCUCGUAUUAUAUUCAAUUUAACCUUCUUUGCAAACUGAGGAGUUGCUAAGAAUUUUAAUGAACCAUCUGUGUGUCAAAUGUUUUUAUCUAUAAAUCUUAACUAGUCAGUUGAGUUGUGAAGAAAAUGGGGUGUGGGUUUUGGGUUCUGGGAUGAAAGGCAAAAGAAAAUAAUAACAAAAGUUUAACGAGAGGGGCUGUAUGGAGCUUUUAGUCAUUUGUGUUUACAAAAACAGGAAGGAAGAAAGAAAGAGAGAAAGAAAGAAACAAACAAACAUAGGUUGCUAAUCUUUGUUGAUUAUUACCUCAAGUACUCCAUGUAUAUAUGGAGAUUUAAAGUUUUUCAUUUUCAACAAAUGAGUUUCUUGUGUUACCUAGCCUCCUUUGUCAGUAAUCUACAUUAAAAAGUUCUUAGUGCCUGGUCUUCAGCAUUAAAUUGGGUGGUUCCAAUGUAUUAUUUUUUUUAAAUAUUUUAUUUAUUUAUUUGACACAGAGAGAGCACAAGUAGGCAGAGCGGCAGGCAGAGGGAGAGGGAGAAGCAGGCUCCCCGCUGAGCAGAGAGCCAGAUGGAGGUCUCGAUCCCAGGACUCUGGGAUCAUGACCUGAGCUGAAGGCUUAACUGACUGAGCUAUCCAGAUGCCCCAUCCAACGUAUUUUUUUGACUCAAAAAUAUAAUUCUAGUGGAAAGCUAACAUGCUCUAUCACUCAGUUUUAAAUGUAAAAGUUUGUUUUGAAUGAGCAAGAAAUUAAAAUAUGGUCAGUGUUCUGAGAUGAGGAUGCUGGGAAAUAGGGGUACCUGUCAUCUGGAGACCAGUCAUGUAGCAUAAGAGAAUCUUAAGCAGGCUCCAUGCCCAGCACAGAGCCCAAUGCAGGGCUCCAUCUAACGACCCUGAGAUCAUGACCUGAGCCAAAAUGAAGAGUCAGCACUUAAUGACUGAGCCACCCAGGUGCCCCUAGACAACCGCUUUCUGAUUAUCUUCAUGUAUUGAGAGUUUCUGUUUGCUUCCAUAUCAAAUUACUUAAAUGACAACAUCAAUGCUAGCCAAUCUAAGAAACACUGCAGUUGCCAAUAGAAGGUAAGCUCUGUGAUGGUAGAGACUUUGUAGAUCUUGGUUAUAUUUGUAUUUCUAGCUCCUUCUAGCUCCUGAUAUAACAGGCAACCAAGACCACUUUGUUGAAUGAAUGAAUAAAUAAAUUGUAAACACAGGAUAAUA